UACGGAGGGAGCUAGCGUUGUUCGGAAUUACUGGGCGUAAAGCGCGCGUAGGCGGCUUUGUAAGUUAGAGGUGAAAGCCCGGAGCUCAACUCCGGAACUGCCUUUAAAACUGCAUCGCUUGAAUCCAGGAGAGGUGAGUGGAAUUCCGAGUGUAGAGGUGAAAUUCGUAGAUAUUGGGAAGAACACCGAUGGCGAAGGCAGCCAUCUGGACCGACACUGACGCUGAGGCGCGAAAGCGUGGGGAGCAAACAGG
rnacentral:rRNA from 1 species